rnacentral:rRNA from 1 species
UACGAAGGGGGCGAGCGUUGUUCGGAUUUACUGGGCGUAAAGGGCGCGUAGGCGGCGCGAGAAGUCGAGUGUGAAAGCCCCGGGCUCAACCUGGGAAUUGCGCUCGAUACUCUUGUGCUUGAGUUCGGGAGAGGAGCGUGGAAUUCCCGGUGUAGAGGUGAAAUUCGUAGAUAUUGGGAAGAACACCGGUGGCGAAGGCGGCGCUCUGGACCGAGACUGACGCUGAGGCGCGAAAGCGUGGGGAGCAAACAGG